rnacentral:rRNA from 2 species
ACCUGCGGAGGAUCAUUC